rnacentral:rRNA from 1 species
AGAACGAACGCUGGCGGCAGGCCUCAAACAUGCAAGUCUAGGGGAUAGCAAUAUCACCGGCGGACGGGUGCGUAACGCGUGGGAAUGUACCUAUUGGUUCGGAACAACACAGGGAAACUUGUGCUAAUACCGAAUGUGCCCGUAAGGGGAAGAUUUAUCGCCAAUAGAUCAGCCCGCGUUCGAUUAGCUAGUUGGUGAGGUAAUGGCUCACCAAGGCGACGAUCGAUAGCUGUUCUGAGAGGAAGAUCAGCCACACUGGGACUGAGACACGGCCCAGACUCCUACGGGAGGCAGCAGUUGGGAAUCUUGGACAAUGGGGGAAACCCUGAUCCAGCCAUGCCGCGUGAGUGAUGAAGGCCUUCGGGUUGUAAAACUCUUUCGCGCACGACGAUAAUGACGGUAGUGCGAGAAGAAGCUCCGGCUAACUUCGUGCCAGCAGCCGC